GACGAACGCUGGCGGCGUGCUUAACACAUGCAAGUCGAACGAUGAAGCCGGAGCUUGCUCUGGUGGAUUAGUGGCGAACGGGUGAGUAACACGUGAGUAACCUGCCCUUGACUCUGGGAUAAGCGUUGGAAACGACGUCUAAUACCGGAUACGAGCUAGGACCGCAUGAUCACUAGCUGGAAAGAAUUUCGGUCAAGGAUGGACUCGCGGCCUAUCAGUUAGUUGGUGAGGUAACGGCUCACCAAGACGACGACGGGUAGCCGGCCUGAGAGGGUGACCGGCCACACUGGGACUGAGACACGGCCCAGACUCCUACGGGAGGCAGCAGUGGGGAAUAUUGCGCAAUGGGCGCAAGCCUGAUGCAGCAACGCCGCGUGAGGGACGACGGCCUUCGGGUUGUAAACCUCUUUUGGCAGGGAAGAAGCGCAAGUGACGGUACCUGCAGAAAAAGCACCGGCUAACUACGUGCCAGCCGCCGCGGUAAAAC
rnacentral:rRNA from 1 species